UGUGUUCCUUCCCCACGUGUGCUGCUGUCCCCACAAAAAAUGCAUUUCGGAUGCUGAAUAUCCACGCCUCACGGUGCUCUGGUGACUAGGGGGAUCCCUGUGAGAUGGGGGCUUUCCAGCAACCUAGAUAAUGAAACCACAGAGCAGCCUUCCCCUGCGGUGACCUAGUUCUUAAUUCCUGUAGUUUCAACACUCAUCACAGCAGAAUUCUGAUGAGGCUGGGCUCUUUCGCAGCUGGCAUUUGAUGAGAAAAGGGAAUUGAAAUGUAGGUGAUUGAUUUGGACCUGGAGAAGCUGAUUGGAUGUCACCCUGUUCUUCCCGACAAUGGGGACCGGUCUGUGCAAAGGGGACUUCCUGUGACCCCUGCGGGUCCACCGGAAGUUCUGAUUUCUCCCAGUGGAAUAGGGGCGCGAAGGCUGCCCUGUCACACACGGCCCAAGAGAUUGAUUACCUGGGCUCUGGCAGCCUCUCUGGGACUCACUUGACAGGGGCACUCACUCUUUCUUGGAAGAUACUUCUUAACUGCAUGUGGGAUGACAACCAAUCUGAAGCGUGACCAUCGGGAAUUACAAGGAAGCAGCACUCAUCAAAACAGCGAUGUGAAACUCCGUCUGUCCCCCUUUCUUACAAAUGGCAGUAACUGUAUUGAAGGAGGCCAGUGUGAGUUUCCCUGCUAAGGUGGGCUGAGAUGCUGGGCUUUAGGUGGAAGUGGCAGAAAGAAAGAAUACUUCUAUUUUGCUGAGGUGGUUCUUUUCUUGGAGUGAGUAAGGGGUAGUUGCUAGUUAACAGAAACAAAGGAUGAGAUAGUGCUACAGAGAGAGCACCUGGGUGUGUGUCCCCGUGUACAUAUGUGAAGAGAGAGUAACUGUUUCCCCUUUCAUAUAGAAUUAUUUGAUUUUGCCCACAUGUGUAUAGGGACAUGCUUAAUGCACUGUCAAUGAACCCAUGACUGUGUCAUUUCUGGUUCACCAGAAUAUAUCAGGCAUGUUCUCAACUGAGUGCCAAGUACCAUGGAAAGCCUGCAGUGAAAGUUCUUGCUUUCUGUUACUCUGGCGAGGAAAGCCAGUAAUGAUCAUGACCUUAGCUGAGAUCCAGACAACAGAAGAGGACCAGUGCUGACGGCUCCUCACAUGGGUUUGCUUGGGCUUUGAGGGAUGACUGAGAAUGUCUUCAAUUUUUUUUUUUUUUGAGACAGAGUCUUGCUCUUGUCGCCCAUGCUGGAGUGCAAUGGCGUGAUGUCGGCUCACUGCAACCUCCGCCUCCAGGUUUAAGUGAUUCUCCUGCCUUAGCCUCCCAAGUAGCUAAGACUGCAGGCACGCGCCACCAUGCCCAGCUAAUUUUUUAUUUUUAGUAGAGAUGGGGUUUCACCACGUCAGGCUGGUCUUGAACUCUUGACCUCAGGUGAUCCACCCACCUCGGCCUCCCAAAGUGCUGGGAUUACUGGUGUGAGCCACUGGCUGAGAAUGUCUUCAAUUUAAUGGAGAAAAUCUGAAAACAGUGCCCAAUGAUAGUGUGGAAGGAUGUGAUAAUAUUUUAAUAUGGACUUUAUACACACAUUUGCUUUUAUCUGAGUAAUUAGGGCUAGCGAAAGGUUUAAUGAGUACUGAGCACGUAGUAACAGUGCACGAGCUGAAUAGUCGGGCAGCUGGCCUGGAUGCACUGGGGCUUUUUCUUUUUAGUUCACUGGAAGUCGAGUCUUCUUUCCAUAAUGUCUAUAGUGCUGAACAAUAAGAUUGGUUCUAAACUGAAGUUAGAAUGUCUAAGUGUUCAGCCCAAGCGUAUUAGAAAAAUUACUUUGGUAGGACACUUACUUUCUCCUGAAAUGCUGUUGGG
rnacentral:lncRNA from 1 species